rnacentral:rRNA from 1 species
UGGGUAGCUAUGUGUGGACGGGAUAAGUGCUGAAAGCAUCUAAGCAUGAAGCCCCCCUCAAGAUGAGAUUUCCCAACUUCGGUUAUAAGAUCCCUCAAAGAUGAUGAGGUUAAUAGGUUCGAGGUGGAAGCAUGGUGACAUGUGGAGCUGACGAAUACUAAUCGAUCGAAGACUUAAUCAAAA